CAGUAGCCGCGGGAAUACGAAGGGGGCUAGCGUUGUUCGGAUUUACUGGGCGUAAAGGGCGCGUAGGCGGGCGAAUAAGUCAGGGGUGAAAUCCCAAGGCUCAACCUUGGAACUGCCUUUGAUACUGUUUGUCUUGAGUUCGAGAGAGGUGAGUGGAACUGCGAGUGUAGAGGUGAAAUUCGUAGAUAUUCGCAAGAACACCAGUGGCGAAGGCGGCUUACUGGCUCGAAACUGACGCUGAGGUGCGAAAGCGUGGGGAGCAAACAGGAUUAGAUACCCCAGUAGUCCCUGUCUCUUAUAC
rnacentral:rRNA from 1 species